CUACAAACUCAGGCAGUAACUAAGCAAGAGCAACCUCACUCGAGACGAGACGGGUUGAAAGGCUCUCCUUUCCUUUUUCUUUUUGGUUUUUCUGUUUUAUUUUUUCUUUAAUUUAACAAGUUGAUUUUGAUCGUCCGACCAUCGCCUGCUUAAGGGACUUCUCGUCAAAAACGGUGCUGUAGAACACCUGUUAAUUACGAUGAGUUAUCAGAUGCAGACAGCCCAAAGUAGACCAAUGUCACAUGGGAACUACCAGAGCAAUCCUGGAGGCGGGGAUAUGGCAUUGGGAAACAAGGAUCAGACCCUGCUCUGGCAACAGAACAACUAUCUGGCUGAUUCCGGUAUCCAUUCAGGAGUGACAACCCAGGCACCUUCCCUAUCUGGAAAGGAAGAAGACAUGGAUGGCGAUCAAAUAAUGUUCGACUUGGGCCAGGGAUUCACACAGGGAUUCACCCAGGAACAAGUUGACGAAAUGAACCAGCAGCUUUCACAGACAAGAUCUCAGAGAGUGAGAGCUGCUAUGUUUCCAGAAACACUUGAAGAAGGAAUUGAAAUCCCUUCAACUCAGUUUGACCAAGGCCAAGCUACAGCUGUUCAAAGACUGGCAGAACCUUCUCAAAUGUUAAAGCAUGCAGUCGUCAACUUGAUAAAUUAUCAGGAUGAUGCUGAUCUUGCAACAAGAGCUAUACCUGAGUUGAUCAAAUUGCUAAACGAUGAGGACCAAGUUGUCGUCUCGCAAGCAGCUAUGAUGGUUCACCAACUCUCAAAGAAGGAAGCUUCUCGACACGCCAUUAUGAACAGCCCUCAAAUGGUAGCUGCUUUGGUUAGAGCAAUAUCUAACAGUGAUGACUUAGAAACCACCAAAGGCGCUGUCGGAACUUUGCAUAACUUAUCACACCACAGACAAGGUCUUUUAGCUAUUUUUAAAAGUGGAGGCAUCCCAGCUCUUGUCAAACUCCUCAGUUCUCCACUAGAAGCAGUAUUGUUCUAUGCAAUCACAACUCUCCACAAUCUCCUUCUUCAUCAGGAAGGAAGUAAAAUGGAUGUAAGACUUGCUGGAGGGUUGCAGAAGAUGGUUGCAUUGCUGCAAAGGAACAAUGUUAAGUUUCUUGCCAUUGUUACCGACUGUCUCCAAAUCCUUGCCUACGGAAAUCAAGAGAGCAAAUUGAUAAUUCUAGCUUCUCAGGGACCACUUGAGCUAGUGAGGAUUAUGAGAAGUUAUGAUUACGAGAAGUUACUCUGGACUACUUCCCGAGUUUUAAAAGUACUGUCGGUUUGCUCUAGUAAUAAGCCAGCUAUAGUUGAGGCUGGUGGUAUGCAGGCAUUGGCUAUGAACCUAGGCCAUUCUUCUCAAAGACUUGUACAGAACUGCUUAUGGACACUUAGAAAUCUCUCGGAUGCUGGGACAAAGGUUGAAGGUUUAGACGGCCUAUUGUCAUCUCUUGUACAACUCCUUGGCUCUUCUGAUGUCAAUGUUGUGACAUGUGCUGCUGGAAUCCUCUCCAACUUGACGUGUAACAACCAGAGAAAUAAAGUGCUGGUUUGUCAAGUAGGUGGUGUUGAUGCUUUAGUAAGGACCAUUGUCUCAGCAGGAGAUAGAGAGGAAAUAACUGAGCCAGCAGUGUGCGCUUUGCGGCAUUUAACUUCAAGACAUAUUGAAAGUGAAAUGGCACAGAAUUCAGUGAGAAUGAACUACGGGCUACAGGUUAUUGUGAAAUUGCUUGAACCCCCGUCCCGUUGGCCUCUUGUCAAGGCAGUCAUUGGUUUAAUUCGUAACCUAGCUCUCUGCUCUGCCAAUCACAGUCCGUUAAGAGAAUACGGAGCAAUUCACCAUCUUGUCCGACUCCUCAUGCGGGCAUUCCAUGACACCCAGAGGAGAUCGAGUGUCUCAAGCAGUGGCAAUCAAACCCCCGCCAUUUAUGCAGAUGGAGUUAGAAUGGAAGAAAUAGUGGAAGGGACGGUAGGAGCUCUGCACAUUCUCGCAAGAGAAAGUCAUAACAGAACAAUCAUCAGAGGUCAGCACGUUAUUCCAAUUUUUGUGCAACUUUUGUUCAAUGAAAUUGAGAAUAUUCAAAGAGUCGCUGCGGGUGUGCUUUGUGAGCUGGCACAAGACAAGGAAGGUGCUGAGCUCAUAGAGCAAGAAGGUGCUACUGCUCCACUGACAGAACUCCUUCAUUCUCGUAAUGAAGGUGUUGCUACAUAUGCAGCAGCAGUUCUAUUCCGCAUGUCUGAAGACAAGCCGCAAGAUUAUAAGAAGAGAUUAUCAAUGGAGCUGACCAACUCUCUGUUCAGAGAGGAUCCAAAUUUGUGGAAUGGGGAUUUGAAUAUGCCUCCAGAUUUACAGGAUAUGCUAGCUGAACAAAGCUAUGAUGGUAUGUACACCCAUGGCCCUCCUAGUGUACAUAGCAGUCAUGGUGGAAGAGCCUACCAACAAGCAUGACCUGUUUAAUGUUUCAAGUCGUCUGAUUCUUGCUGAACUCCAUACAACAGGGUAUGAUCAGAUUCCGGUUGAUUCAAUGCAGGGGUUGGAUCUUGGGUCCCAACAUGAUUCAAACUAUGGGCCUAUGGAUGUAGGUCCCGCUGUUCUAGAUUUUGACAAUUUGGGCGAACUUCCACAACCUCCUCAAGACAAUAACCAAGUGGCUGCUUGGUACGACACCGACCUUUAGAGGUUUGAUUCAAUUGAUUUUAUUUGAAACUGCUUAAACUUAAUUCAACUUACUUGACUUAAUUAUACUUUCUUUUGAUAAUAUUAAUAAAUUGUGAGUUUUACUUAUUGGAUAAGAUAAUGUAAUUGUAACUUAAACAAUUAAUUAAGAAAACAUGAAUUUUGUAUGAAUUGCAUUUAUUAAAUUAGAAUACAAACUUUUCAUUAUGGAUAAAUUUUAUAAGAUAUUUUGUAAUGUAUUCAAUAAAUUUUGUCUAUUUA